UAAUUCUCCUCUGUUUCUUCCUCUUUCUCUCUGACUAAGCUUUAACUUCUCCCCUGGAAGUCUGCAGUCCCCUGGGGGCCAGUCUGUCUUUCAAUGUCCAGAAUAGGCUCAACCCAGGAAACAAAGGGAGAGGAGAGUGAUGCUCUGAAAGUAAAGCACAAGAACGAAGAGUGAGCCGAGGCACGUCGCCAGGAACAGGCGUCCUCCUCUGGGCAUCUUCAUCCUGAAGCCCGGCUCUGCUGGCGGAGCCCACGACCCCUCGUCGCUGCCUCGACACGGUUCAUACGAGACCACCCGGCGGAAGAUGCGAGACUCUCCGGAGAAUUAGUAGCCUAUUCAUUAAUUGCGGAAAGUGAAGAAUAACCACAGCCCAUCCAGGAAUAACGUUGACCGGGCUACUGAACGACACAUUCAUCAACGUUAGCCGUUAAUUUUAACGUGAGUGGGACGUAAAUCCAGGUCCGCCCGAUGUGGUCUUUGCCUGGUGUAUAAUAUUACGUUGACUUGAUAAUGAUGACAAAUUAAGAAAGGUCACCUUAGAUAAAACAUUACAUAAUGUUACACUGACAUGACAAGUCCUAAAGCAAAAUAAAAACUUAUUAAUAAACA